rnacentral:rRNA from 1 species
CCUACGGGAGGCUGCAGUGGGGAAUAUUGGGCAAUGGGCGCAAGCCUGACCCAGCAACGCCGCGUGAAGGAAGAAGGCUUUCGGGUUGUAAACUUCUUUUUUCAGGGACGAAGCAAGUGACGGUACCUGAGGAAUAAGCCACGGCUAACUACGUGCCAGCAGCCGCGGUAAUACGGAGGUGGCAAGCGUUAUCCGGAUUUACUGGGUGUAAAGGUAGUGUAGGCGGGACUGCAAGUCAGAGGUGAAAACCACGGGCUCAACCUGUGGCCUGCAUUUGAAACUGUAGUGCUUGAGUACUGGAGAGGUAGACGGAAUGCCUAGUGUAGCGGUGAAAUGCGUAGAUAUUAGGAGGAACACCAGUUGCGAAGGCGGUCUGCUGGACAGCAACUGACGCUGAGGCGCGAAAGCGUGGGGAGCAAACAGGAUUAGAUACCCCUGUAGUC